rnacentral:rRNA from 1 species
CGGGAAUAUUGGGCAAUGGGGGAAACCCUGACCCAGCAACGCCGCGUGAGGGAAGAAGGCCUUCGGGUUGUAAACCUCUGUCAUAUGAGAAGAAGGAAUGACAGUAUCAUAUGAGGAAGCUCCGGCUAACUACGUGCCAGCAGCCGCGGUAAUACGUAGGGAGCGAGCGUUGUCCGGAAUUACUGGGCGUAAGGGGUGCGUAGGCGGCAUGUUAAGUUAGAUGUCAAAUUCCCGGGCUUAACCCGGGUUCGCAUCUAAAACUGGCGUGCUUGAGUGCAGGAGAGGAAAGUGGAAUUCCUAGUGUAGCGGUGGAAUGCGUAGAUAUUAGGAGGAACACCAGUGGCGAAGGCGACUUUCUGGACUGUAACUGACGCUGAAGCACGAAAGCGUGGGGAGCAAAC